CCGAUCGUGCGCCUAUCGGCUGUGCCCGGCGCGCACUCUGGAAUAUCCUUGGCGCCUUCGAUACCACUGAGCGGUGCGCGCGCUUGCCGAAGCGAGGCGGUGGCACACUGCGCAAUGGCCGACCUUGCCCGGGCCCUGUACGAAAGCGCGUCGCCAACGUCUUUUCGUAGA
rnacentral:sRNA from 1 species